AGUGAACGCUGGCGGCAGGCCUAACACAUGCAAGUCGAGCGGCAGCGCGGGGGCAACCCUGGCGGCGAGCGGCGGACGGGUGAGGAAUUCGUCGGAAUCUGCCUUUUUGUGGGGGAUAACGUAGGGAAACUUACGCUAAUACCGCAUACGUCCUACGGGAGAAAGUGGGGGACCGCAAGGCCUCACGCAGAAAGAUGAGCCGACGACCGAUUAGCUAGUUGGUGGGGUAAAGGCCCACCAAGGCGACGAUCGGUAGCUGGUCUGAGAGGAUGAUCAGCCAACAUGGGACGUAGGACACGCCCCGACUCCCAAGGGAGGCCGCAGUGGGGAAUAUUUGACAAUGGGGGGAAGGCCUAUCCAGGCCAGCCGGGGGGUGGAAGAAGGGCCUCCGGGUGUUAAACCCCUUUGGCCGGAAAGAAAACCCUGGGGGUAAAAACCUCGGGGGAUGAAGGGAACGGAAGAAUAAGCACCGGCUAACUUCGUG
rnacentral:rRNA from 1 species